AACAACCUAAAAGAGUGAUGAAACAACAACUUCUUUAUUUUCAGAAGAAAAAGAAUCUUAGCAACAGAAAGUUUUGGAGUGUUCUUGGAAGGGCCCAAUUUUCGGACACUGUGAAAUAAUUCAAAUGGUUCAAUGAAUUUCAAACCGAUAAAGAAGAAUCAGAACAGACGAAAUUGUAAAUACCCACAUGCUAGAACUUGCCGUAGAUUAUAAUGAAGAAGCAUCUAAAUUGGGUCAAGAAAAAGAAGCAGGAGGAAUUGGAAAAUGAGGCAUCAACUCAAGUUGGGGUUAAACUUACAGUGCCUGUGAGGUUCUUGCUUUGUA